GCACUGGGGGUUCAGUGGUAGAAUUCUCGCCUUUCAGGUAGGCGGCCCUGGUUCAAUUCCUGGCCAGUGCG
rnacentral:tRNA from 1 species